GACGAACGCUGGCGGCGUGCUUAACACAUGCAAGUCGAACGGAAAGGCCCUGCUUUUGUGGGGUUCUCGAGUGGCGAACGGGUGAGUAACACGUGAGUAACCUGCUCUCGACUUUGGGAUAACUUCAGGAAACUGGGGCUAAUACCGGAUAGGAGCUCCUGCUGCACGGCGGGGGUUGGAAAGUUUCGGCGGUUGGGGAUGGACUCGCGGCUUAUCAGCUUGUUGGUGGGGUAGUGGCUCACCAAGGCUCUGACGGGUAGCCGGCCUGAGAGGGUGGCCGGCCACAAUGAGACUAAGAGAGGGCGCAGACUGCUACGGGGGGCAGCAGUGGGGAAUAUUGCACAAUGGGCGGGAGCCUAAUGCAGCAACGCCGCGGGCGGGAUGACGGCCUUCGGGUUAUAAACCGCGUUCGCCUGUGACGAAGCGUGAGUGACGGUAAUGGGUAAAGAAGCACCGGCUAACUACGUG
rnacentral:rRNA from 1 species